rnacentral:rRNA from 1 species
GUGCCAGCAGCCGCGGUAAUACGGGGGUGCUAGCGUUGUUCGGAAUUACUGGGCGUAAAGCGUAUGUAGGCGGUUUGUUAAGCGGAAUGUGAAAUCCUCAGGCUCAACCUGAGAACUGCAUUCGGAACUGGCAGACUUGAGUACGGAAGAGGGAGACAGAAUUCCAGGUGGAGGGGUGAAAUCCGUAGAGAUCUGGAAGAAUACCGGUGGCGAAGGCGGUCUCCUGGUACGUUACUAACGCUGAGAUACGAAAGCGUGGGGAGCAAACAGGAUUAGAUACCCUGGUAGUCCACGCCCUAAACGAUGGAUACUGGAUAUUGGAAAGAUCUCUUUUCAGUAUCGAAGCUAACGCGUUAAGUAUCCCGCCUGGGGAGUACGAUCGCAAGAUUAAACUUAAGGAAUUGACGG